rnacentral:rRNA from 1 species
CCUACGGGAGGCAGCAGUGGGGAAUUUUGGACAAUGGGCGCAAGCCUGAUCCAGCAAUGCCGCGUGAGUGAAGAAGGCCUUCGGGUUGUAAAGCUCUUUUGUCAGGGAAGAAACGGUGAGGGCUAAUAUCUCUUGCUAAUGACGGUACCUGAAGAAUAAGCACCGGCUAACUACGUGCCAGCAGCCGCGGUAAUACGUAGGGUGCAAGCGUUAAUCGGAAUUACUGGGCGUAAAGCGUGCGCAGGCGGUUUUGUAAGUCUGUCGUGAAAUCCCCGGGCUCAACCUGGGAAUUGCGAUGGAGACUGCAAGGCUAGAAUCUGGCAGAGGGGGGUAGAAUUCCACGUGUAGCAGUGAAAUGCGUAGAGAUGUGGAGGAACACCGAUGGCGAAGGCAGCCCCCUGGGUCAAGAUUGACGCUCAUGCACGAAAGCGUGGGGAGCAAACAGGAUUAGAUACCCUGGUAGUCCACGCCCUAAACGAUGUCUACUAGUUGUCGGGUUUUAAUAACUUGGUAACGCAGCUAACGCGUGAAGUAGACCGCCUGGGGAGUACGGUGCAAAGAUUUAAAACUUAAAGGAAAUUGACCGGNGNGAGAGNGCGAGGACGACGACGAGGAGAG